GAUAAAUAAUGCAUCUCCGAGUAUUUUUGAAUGAUUAAUCAGACAUGCAUGCUCACAUCUAUGAAACAUAGAUCAAAAGCACAAUUGCGUCCAUCACCGAGAGAGAGAGAGAGAGAGAGAGAGAGGCACCUUAGCAGCAAAAUCAAAUCCUAAAGAAAACAAAUAACCAAUGCGCAAUCAAACUGGUAUGAACUUUACCUUACAGGAAGCGGGUACCGAAACAUGCCCCCAAAGAACAAAGCAGAAAAGAUCGAAGUAGAAAACCCAAGGAAAUCCCAAGAACAGGAAGCUUCGACCGAAAGGAGUUGUAGACGAGACGAGGAGAUGAAGACCCAAAAGAUUAAAGAACAAACCUAAAGAAAUCUCAAGAACAAGAAGCUCCAAUCAAGAGGAACAGUAGGAAAAAGGGGUGACAUAGAGAGGAGGAGGAGAGAAGAUCGCAGAAGAGGAAGAUGAACCUAAAGAAUCCCCAACAUUCAGAAGAAGACUGAAUCGAGAACGAACCUAAAGAAAUCUCAACAGCAAGGAACAGUAGAAACGGGGACGAGAGGAGAAGGGGAACCGGAAGAAACCCCAAAAGAAUAAUCAGGUGAAGACUGAAGAAAACACUGAAAAAUUCAACAAGAGACGUAAAUAAAUCUAAAAACCAGAAGCUUCGAUCAAGAGAAACAGCGGAAAGAGGGAAGUAGAGGCGAGCUGAAGAAAACCGUGAAACAACUUGCAAGAUUCGUGAAGAAACCCAAAACAAGUCACGAGAACUUGAAGAAAACUAAAGAAAGCCCAGAAACAAGGAUUCACGAGGAAACCUAAAGAAAAUCCCAUGACCAAGAGGGAUAGGGAUAGGAACAGAAAAGAAACCUGAUACGACGAGAGAGAGAUGAGGGGGAGAAUCUGCGGCCCUGUCCGCCGAUCUUCUUACCGUCGGAGUCGUCUGGACGAUCCCAAUCCUCCUCAUCUGUUGAAGGAAAACCAACCCAAAGAAACCGUGAUGAGGCAAAGAGAGGAGGGGGCAACCGACUAUUUAUACGAGAAGAGGCCAAUGCCAUCACGUGACCCGCAGGUGAUAAAAUAGACGGUGAUUGAUUGAUCGACAUAAUACAAUGCCACAAUUGAUUGAUAAUAAUCAAAUGUCAUUCAUCACCUGACAUAAAAUGAAAAACGAUCUAUCGAUGUGAAAUAUGCCUUACGGAAAUAUAUAUAUUAAAAAAAUGAUAUGGUCUCGCUAUCAAUGCACUUCUUCUUGGAUGCCUUUGUAGUUUGUUACCCCAAGUACUAACUACUACUACUACUACUGCUACUACUACUAAAGCCAUCAAAAAGAGGAAACAGAACAAAAGAAAAUAAAGAGUCUAAUUAAUAGAACGAGAGAAAGAAAGCGAAUGCUUAGAUCCGAACCCUGAUCUCGGACGAUGUGGUGGCUCGAGAGAAUUGCUUUAGGAGGAAGCAUGGGAGAGUGCCACUGAACUCUCGUUCCGUGUAUCCAGAUCCUGUUGACGGAAGAGCCAGUUUGGGGUCCAAGAAAACCCUCAAGAUUCAAAGGGAAGCAAAAAAGAACCUAAAGAGAAGAGAAGAUGAAACAAAAACACAUAAAAAAUCUGUCCUAAAAGGACAAAAAAAGAGGGAGAGACGUCCAACAGAACCCCGAAGGAAACCCAACGAUAAGCUUUGAUCUAAAUUGGCACCAGAAACAGGGAAAUGACGAAAACAACAGAAACCAGAAAGAUCUUUCGCUCGCAGGAGUUCUUGAGGCCGGAAUCGAGAAGGGAAAUCCCAAGCGAUGAAGAAGAAAGGCAAAGAAAGAGUGAAAAUGAAGACGAAGA
rnacentral:lncRNA from 1 species